rnacentral:rRNA from 1 species
GACGAACGCUGGCGGCGUGCUUAACACAUGCAAGUCGAACGCGCCUGUCCUCUGGGUUUCUGGGGGGUGGGUGAGUGGCGAACGGGUGAGUAACACGUGAGUAACCUGCCCCCUUCUUCGGGAUAACGGUCUGAAAGGGCUGCUAAUACCGGGUAUUCACUGGUCUCCGCAUGGGGUCUGGUGGAAAGGUUUUUUUCUGGUGGGGGAUGGGCUCGCGGCCUAUCAGCUUGUUGGUGGGGUGAUGGCCCACCAAGGCUUUGACGGGUAGCCGGCCUGAGGGGGUGACCGGUCACAUUGGGACUGAGAUACGGCCCAGACUCCUACGGGAGGCAGCAGUGGGGAAUAAUGCACAAUGGGCGCAAGCCUGAUGCAGCGACGCCGCGUGAGGGAUGGAGGCCUUCGGGUUGUGAACCUCUUUCGCCCGUGGUCAAGCCGCGACGUGGGUCGUGGUGAGGGUAGUGGGUAAAGAAGCGCCGGCUAACUACGUG